rnacentral:rRNA from 1 species
UACGGAGGGUGCAAGCGUUAUCCGGAUUUACUGGGUUUAAAGGGUGUGUAGGCGGGCUUUUAAGUCAGUGGUGAAAUCUCCGGGCUCAACCUGGAAACUGCCAUUGAUACUAUUAGUCUUGAAUUUUGUUGAGGUAGGCGGAAUAAGUCAUGUAGCGGUGAAAUGCUUAGAUAUGACAUAGAACACCAAUUGCGAAGGCAGCUUACUACACAACGAUUGACGCUGAGGCACGAAAGCGUGGGGAUCAAACAGG